GACGAACUUUGGCGGCGUGCUUAACACAUGCAAGUCGAACGGAAAGGCCCUGCUUUUGUGGGGUGCUCGAGUGGCGAACGGGUGAGUAACACGUGAGUAACCUGCCCUUGACUUUGGGAUAACUUCAGGAAACUGGGGCUAAUACCGGAUAGGAGCUCCUGCUGCAUGGUGGGGGUUGGAAAGUUUCGGCGGUUGGGGAUGGACUCGCGGCUUAUCAGCUUGUUGGUGGGGUAGUGGCUUACCAAGGCUUUGACGGGUAGCCGGCCUGAGAGGGUGACCGGCCACAUUGGGACUGAGAUACGGCCCAGACUCCUACGGGAGGCAGCAGUGGGGAAUAUUGCACAAUGGGCGGAAGCCUGAUGCAGCAACGCCGCGUGCGGGAUGACGGCCUUCGGGUUGUAAACCGCUUUCGCCUGUGACGAAGCGUGAGUGACGGUAAUGGGUAAAGAAGCACCGGCUAACUACGUGCCAGCAGCCGCGGUGAUACGUAGGGUGCGAGCGUUGUCCGGAUUUAUUGGGCGUAAAGGGCUCGUAGGUGGUUGAUCGCGUCGGAAGUGUAAUCUUGGGGCUUAACCCUGAGCGUGCUUUCGAUACGGGUUGACUUGAGGAAGGUAGGGGAGAAUGGAAUUCCUGGUGGAGCGGUGGAAUGCGCAGAUAUCAGGAGGAACACCAGUGGCGAAGGCGGUUCUCUGGGCCCUUCCUGACGCUGAGGAGCGAAAGCGUGGGGAGCGAACAGGCUUAGAUACCCUGGUAGUCCACGCUGUAAACGGUGGGUACUAGGUGUGGGGUCCAUUCCACGGGUUCCGUGCCGUAGCUAACGCUUUAAGUACCCCGCCAGGGGAGUACGGCCGCAAGGCUAAAACUCAAAGGAAUUGACGGGGCCCCGCACAAGCGGCGGAGCAUGCGGAUUAAUUCGAUGCAACGCGUAGAACCUUACCUGGGUUUGACAUGGAUCGGGAGUGCUCAGAGAUGGGUGUGCCUCUUUUGGGGUCGGUUCACAGGUGGUGCAUGGCUGUCGUCAGCUCGUGUCGUGAGAUGUUGGGUUAAGUCCCGCAACGAGCGCAACCCUUGUUCACUGUUGCCAGCACGUUAUGGUGGGGACUCAGUGGAGACCGCCGGGGUCAACUCGGAGGAAGGUGGGGAUGACGUCAAGUCAUCAUGCCCCUUAUGUCCAGGGCUUCACGCAUGCUACAAUGGCUGGUACAGAGAGUGGCGAGCCUGUGAGGGUGAGCGAAUCUCGGAAAGCCGGUCUCAGUUCGGAUUGGGGUCUGCAACUCGACCUCAUGAAGUCGGAGUCGCUAGUAAUCGCAGAUCAGCAACGCUGCGGUGAAUACGUUCCCGGGGCU
rnacentral:rRNA from 1 species